rfam:Triticum aestivum genome assembly, contig: Triticum_aestivum_CS42_TGACv1_scaffold_224026_3B
GGAGUACUCCCUCCGUUCGGAAUUACUUGUCUCAGAAAUGGAUAUAUCUAGAACAAAAAUACGUCUAGAUACACCCAUUUGUGCGACAAGUAAUUCCGAACGGAGGGAGUACCUC